rnacentral:ribozyme from 17 species
UACAAUGAAUGAAUGAACGACCAAAAAAAUCUACUACUUUACCGCAGACUUUUUGGCUUUUUGCUUGGCACGUUUUUUCGCGUUUUUCUUUCUUCUUUUUUCGAUUUC